rnacentral:rRNA from 1 species
UCAGCUCGUCGGCUGUCGGCUGGGUGGGGACGUAACAAAGCGACCCAGGAAUACUUGGGCGUGCCUCCACCCACGCCGGCGUCGGCGGGCGUAUUUCGCCUCACAGUAGGUCGCCGCGACCCGUUGCUUUUGGGGACGUCGAAGGCCCGGACGGAUUGGUACCCUACCGGCUGGCUGGGGAUGCGGCUUCGGCUUCUCUCCUCUUGUCCGGUGGGCGAAACCGCCGGUGUCCUGGCUGCCCUGCGACGGUCGUAGAGACGAGCCCCUCCCAUUCGUGGGGGGCGGCUCUCGCGGCGUGCAAAAAGUCGGUGAUCCACCCGACCCGUCUUGAAACACGGACCAAGGAGUCUAACAUGUGUGCGAGUCAGUGGGCGCACUAAACCCAGAGGCGCAAUGAAAGUGACACGGGUUCGGCUGUCGCCUCGUGUGGCAGCCGGACUCAUCAGGGCCGAUCCCUCACCGGUUGGCCUCGCCUCUCUCCCGCGUCUCGGUAAGCCGGGUGAGCUAUUUUCCCCGGCCGCUGCUGCGGGGCUCGGGGGAAGGCGGGGUGCGAUGGUGUCUUCCGUAAAAAGGAAGAAGAGCCUGCUGUUGCAGGGGGGCGCAGGCCCGGGACUUGCCAGGACGCCGCGAGACUGUCGUCACUUUGCUGUGAGGCCCUAGGGCCGAUCAGCGGGUCGGUCAUGCGUGCAGUCGGCAAGUACCAUGAGCAGACAUGUUGGGACCCGAAAGAUGGUGAACUAUGCCUGGCCAGGAUGAAGCCAGAGGAAACUCUGGUGGAGGUCCGUAGCGAUUCUGACGUGCAAAUCGAUCGUCGGAGCUGGGUAUAGGGGCGAAAGACUAAUCGAACCAUCUAGUAGCUGGUUCCCUCCGAAGUUUCCCUCAGGAUAGCUGGAACUCGUGGGAUGAAUUUCAUCCGGUAAAGCGAAUGAUUAGAGGCCUUGGGGACGAAACGUCCUCAACCUAUUCUCAAACUUUAAAUGGGUGAGAUGCCGAGCUUGCUUGAACGCUGAAGCUUCGGCGACUAAU